rnacentral:rRNA from 1 species
AUUGAACGCUGGCGGCAUGCCUUACACAUGCAAGUCGAACGGCAGCGGACCUUCGGGUGCCGGCGAGUGGCGAACGGGUGAGUAAUGCAUCGGAACGUGCCAUUGAGUGGGGGAUAACGUAGCGAAAGUUACGCUAAUACCGCAUAUUCUGUGAGCAGGAAAGCAGGGGACCGCAAGGCCUUGCGCUCUUUGAGCGGCCGAUGUCAGAUUAGCUAGUUGGUGAGGUAAAGGCUUACCAAGGCGACGAUCUGUAGCGGGUCUGAGAGGAUGAUCCGCCACACUGGAACUGAGACACGGUCCAGACUCCUACGGGAGGCAGCAGUGGGGAAUUUUGGACAAUGGGCGCAAGCCUGAUCCAGCCAUGCCGCGUGAGUGAAGAAGGCCUCGGUUGUAAGACGUCUUUCGGUCCGGGAACGGAAAGUACGCAUGGGUUAAGUUACCCUACGUUGUGGUAGUGACGGUACCGGAACGU